CAAAGUGGCCCGUAUUUUUCUCACGAGGUCGCUAUGCAUCACUAGAAUAGUAAUGAUACACCAUAACGUGACUAGUGUUAUGAUCAGACCUUUUAACGAGAAAGUAGACGACAGCUGGAAUCAAAAUUUCUUCACACGUCGUCGGAAGCUUAACUUGUGGUCAUGUUUGCUGCAGACAAUGCUCUGGCUCCCAGUGGAGUGAUCUACUACCAAAUCUUGGACACGGAUUAUACAACAUGGGCGCUCGAGAGUGUCUGCACACAGUUCGGAAAUAAUUUCUCACUCCUGCUGACAAAGCAAAUGCGCCGCGUUCCGAGAGCGAUAAUGCGGAAAGUCUGGAUUGCCUUACGUAAGGCAGGAUACAUAGACGACGAAAGACAGUGGUUCCCAACCGGCUGCCUCAUAGAAGACGGCAAAGGUGAUGGCCUGCUUACGCUGAUGCUUGUUGUAAAGCCCGUCUGAAUAAAGAGCAACAAAGCGU